rnacentral:tRNA from 1 species
AUUUAAGUAGUUUAUAUAAUAAAAUUUAGGUUUGUGGUUCCUAAGAAGUUAAAUUUACCUUAGAUU